rnacentral:lncRNA from 1 species
UAUUUAUCCUUAAGAUCCUUUAAUAGCAUACCAAGAUCAAUUAGGUUUAACCCUCAUCACUUAAAUAGCUUGUACAUCCAAUUUGGGUCAAAAUGUCAUAAUCCCAAACUUGAGGGUCAUGGCAGUUACAUAGGACCGGUUAUUAACUAAUCUGUCAAUAUUUUAAAGUAUUUUUUAUUGUUAGCCAUUUAUGAAACUUAGGUGACCUGAUCUGGCCUCAAGAACUCUAGUGACCAAACUGCAAUUACUGGAACUUCAGGAAUCGUCAUGACAUUUUAUCCAAUCGUCUUCCCUAACGAGGCCAAACCCAUUUUCCAGAAUCAAUUCCGGCGAGUCCAACCCCACUUCAAACCUUCACGAACCUUCGAAUUAACUCAGGGGAAACACUCAUCACCUGAUUUCGAAGCGGGGGAGAUGGUAACUCGAAUCUGACCAUGAGAGGAUUAAUAUAUCGAGUUAGGCUUCUGGGAAGUUCUAAUGGAGGGAGAGGAAGGUAAGGGAUAGACCCAACGAUCCUUACCUAGAUGGGAAUGAGUUUACGGGUCUUCCAUCGGAGCUUCAUCAGUGUUGAUUGAUUUACCGGUCAAAACACACCAAACUGAGAAGAAAAGGGGUGCCUUAGUCGCGGAACUUGAUGAGGAAGGUCAUGGAAUCAAGAGAGAAGCACAGAGGCUUACCUAGGCUGAGCUACAGACCUUCGAAGCCUCGCUGGCGUGGCUCACCGGAGACAGGGAAGAAGAGGAUUGGACUCGUUUCUGGAGAUUUAGAAGCCUCAAACGGCUGCAAAUGAAUGGUGGAACGUAGGGUUUCGA